rnacentral:rRNA from 1 species
GUAGGUGGCAAGCGUUGUCCGGAAUUAUUGGGCGUAAAGCGCGCGCAGGCGGUUCUUUAAGUCUGAUGUGAAAGCCCACGGCUCAACCGUGGAGGGUCAUUGGAAACUGGAGAACUUGAGUACAGAAGAGGAAAGCGGAAUUCCACGUGUAGCGGUGAAAUGCGUAGAGAUGUGGAGGAACACCAGUGGCGAAGGCGGCUUUCUGGUCUGUAACUGACGCUGAGGCGCGAAAGCGUGGGGAGCAAACAGGAUUAGAUACCCUGGUAGUCCACGCCGUAAACGAUGAGUGCUAAUGUUAGGGGGGUUUUCCGCCCCCCUUAGUGCUGCAGCUAACGCAUUAAGCACUCCGCCUGGGAGUACGGCCGCAAGGCUG